rnacentral:rRNA from 1 species
AUGAAAUCAAGCAUACAAAUAUCACUCACCAGUGAGCAAUAUAUGAGGGUUUCUUAUGCUGAAUUAUUCAACGCAACAAAUGGUUUUGCUUCCGCCAACCUCACUGGAGUAGGAAGUUUUGGCUCGGUCUACAAGGGAAGUAUGCGAAGCAAUGACCAACAAGUAGUUGUUGCUGUGAAGGUGCUCAACCUCAAGCGACGUGGUGCUUCUCAAAGUUUCAUUGCAGAAUGCGAGACACUGAGAUGCGCUCGACAUCGGAACCUUGUGAAGAUACUGACAGUAUGCUCUAGUAUUGAUUUUGAGGGUCAUGAUUUCAAGGCCCUUGUAUAUGAAUUCCUACCAAACGGUAACUUAGAUGAAUGGCUACACCAGCAGAUCAUGGGGGGUGGUGAACAGAAGGCAAUAGAUCACAUUGUGAGGCUAGGCAUUGCAAUUGAUGUGGCAUUCUCACUUGAAUAUCUUCACCAACAUAAGCCAUUGCCGAUUAUUCACUGUGAUCUUAAGCCAAGCAAUGUUCUCCUCGACAGUGACAUGGUUGCUCAUGUUGGUGAUUUUGCGCUUGGAAGAUUUGUACUUCAAGACUUGGAGAAUUCAAGUGGCUGGGCAUCAAUGAGAGGAACAAUUGGUUACGCCGCUCCAGAGUAUGGAGUUGGCAAUCAAGUCACAACCCAAGGUGAUGUCUAUAGCUAUGGCGUAUUGCUGCUAGAAAUGUUCACUGGAAAAAGACCAACAGACAUUGAUUUUGGGGAUGUUUUUGGCCUUCGCAAGUAUGUUCAGAUGGCACUGCCAGACAAGAUGGCUAAUGUCAUUGACCAAUGGUUAUUACCAGAGAUGGAAAAUGAUAAACGAGACAAGUCCAACUCUAACAAGAGCAGAGAUCUGAGAACAGCUUGCAUCACUUCGAUUCUGCGUAUUGGAAUUUCAUGUUCAGAGGAGACACCAACAGAUCGCCCGCAAAUUGGAGAUGCUCUGAAAGAGUUGCUAGCAAUAAGAGACAAAUUUCACAAGAAUCACUCCAGUGAAGGAGCACCAUCGAGCAACUGA